UACGUAGGUGGCAAGCGUUGUCCGGAUUUACUGGGCGUAAAGAGCGCGCAGGCGGUCGGAUAAGACGAAUGUGAAAGCCCCCGGCUCAACUGGGGAGGGUCAUUCGAUACUGUUCGACUCGAAGGCAGGAGAGGGAAGUGGAAUUCCCGGUGUAGUGGUGAAAUGCGUAGAUAUCGGGAGGAACACCAGUGGCGAAGGCGACUUCCUGGCCUGUUCUUGACGCUGAGGCGCGAAAGCUAGGGGAGCAAACGGG
rnacentral:rRNA from 1 species